rnacentral:rRNA from 1 species
UUGAUUCUUCGGAUGAAGAUCCUGGUGACUGAGUGGCGGACGGGUGAGUAACGCGUGGGUAACCUGCCUCAUACAGGGGGAUAACAGUUAGAAAUGACUGCUAAUACCGCAUAAGACCACAGCACCGCAUGGUGCAGGGGUAAAAACUCCGGUGGUAUGAGAUGGACCCGCGUCUGAUUAGGUAGUUGGUGGGGUAACGGCCUACCAAGCCGACGAUCAGUAGCCGACCUGAGAGGGUGACCGGCCACAUUGGGACUGAGACACGGCCCAAACUCCUACGGGAGGCAGCAGUGGGGAAUAUUGCACAAUGGGGGAAACCCUGAUGCAGCGACGCCGCGUGAGCGAUGAAGUAUUUCGGUAUGUAAAGCUCUAUCAGCAGGGAAGAAAAUGACGGUACCUGACUAAGAAGCACCGGCUAAAUACGUGCCAGCAGCCGCGGUAAUACGUAUGGUGCAAGCGUUAUCCGGAUUUACUGGGUGUAAAGGGAGCGUAGACGGAGUGGCAAGUCUGAUGUGAAAACCCGGGGCUCAACCCCGGGACUGCAUUGGAAACUGUCAAU